GAUGAACGCUGACAGAAUGCUUAACACAUGCAAGUCGAUGGGGAAGUGGUGCUUGCACCAUGGCAACCAUGGCGGACGGGUGAGUAACGCGUAAGGGACUUACCUGCAGGACUGGGAUAACAGGGGGAAACUCCUGACAAGACCGGAUAAUGUCAUGGAGCUGCAUGGCUUUAUGAUGAAAGGAGACGCCUGCGGAGAGCCUUGCGUCCUAUUAGCUAGUUGGUGAGGUAAUGGCUCACCAAGGCGAAGAUAGGUAGCCGGCCUGAGAGGGUGGACGGCCACAAGGGGACUGAGAUACGGCCCUUACUCCUACGGGAGGCAGCAGUGGGGAAUAUUGGACAAUGGGGGCAACACUGAUCCAGCAAUUCUGUGUGCACGAAGAAGGUUUUCGGAUUGUAAAGUGCUUUCAGCAGGGAAGAAGUAAGUGACGGUACCUGCAGAAGAGGCGACGGCUAAAUACGUG
rnacentral:rRNA from 1 species